UGCAGUCGAGCGGAUGAGUGGAGCUUGCUCCAUGAUUCAGCGGCGGACGGGUGAGUAAUGCCUAGGAAUCUGCCUGGUAGUGGGGGACAACGUUUCGAAAGGAACGCUAAUACCGCAUACGUCCUACGGGAGAAAGUGGGGGAUCUUCGGACCUCACGCUAUCAGAUGAGCCUAGGUCGGAUUAGCUAGUUGGUGAGGUAAAGGCUCACCAAGGCGACGAUCCGUAACUGGUCUGAGAGGAUGAUCAGUCACACUGGAACUGAGACACGGUCCAGACUCCUACGGGAGGCAGCAGUGGGGAAUAUUGGACAAUGGGCGAAAGCCUGAUCCAGCCAUGCCGCGUGUGUGAAGAAGGUCUUCGGAUUGUAAAGCACUUUAAGUUGGGAGGAAGGGCAGUAAGUUAAUACCUUGCUGUUUUGACGUUACCAACAGAAUAAGCACCGGCUAACUUCGUGCCAGCAGCCGCGGUAAUACGAAGGGUGCAAGCGUUAAUCGGAAUUACUGGGCGUAAAGCGCGCGUAGGUGGUUCGUUAAGUUGGAUGUGAAAGCCCCGGGCUCAACCUGGGAACUGCAUCCAAAACUGGCGAGCUAGAGUAUGGCAGAGGGUGGUGGAAUUUCCUGUGUAGCGGUGAAAUGCGUAGAUAUAGGAAGGAACACCAGUGGCGAAGGCGACCACCUGGGCUAAUACUGACACUGAGGUGCGAAAGCGUGGGGAGCAAACAGGAUUAGAUA
rnacentral:rRNA from 1 species